CAAUGUUAAUGGGGCAGGCACUAUGCAUUUCACUGUUAAAGAUGCAGUCAUUGUUAAAGGGGUGGGCACUGUGGAGGUCUCUGUUAAAGGGGUGGCCACUGUGGAGGCCAAUGUUAAAGGGGCAGCCACUAUGAAGGUCACUGUUAAAGG